rnacentral:rRNA from 1 species
CCUACGGGUGGCAGCAGUGGGGGAUAUUGCACAAUGGGGGAAACCCUGAUGCAGCGACGCCGCGUGGGUGAAGAAGUAUUUCGGUAUGUAAAGCCCUAUCAGCAGGGAAGAAAGAAGACGGUACCUGACUAAGAAGCCCCGGCUAACUACGUGCCAGCAGCCGCGGUAAUACGUAGGGGGCGAGCGUUAUCCGGAUUCACUGGGUGUAAAGGGAGCGUAGACGGCCGUGCAAGCCAGGAGUGAAAGCCCGGGGCCCAACCCCGGGACUGCUCUUGGAACUGUGCGGCUGGAGUGCGGGAGGGGCAGGCGGAAUUCCUGGUGUAGCGGUGAAAUGCGUAGAUAUCAGGAGGAACACCAGCGGCGAAGGCGGCCUGCUGGACCGCGACUGACGUUGAGGCUCGAAAGCGUGGGGAGCGAACAGGAUUAGAUACCCGGGUAGUC